UCGAAACCUGCCUAGCAGAACAACCCGUGAACGUGUUCAUAAAACGAGGGGUACAAAGCAGCUCUUGCCUGCUUUGCCCCUUCAUAAGGCCUUGAUUGGGGGACUAGGGACUGUAGGCUUUGCCUACCCCCGAUGUAACCCGGUUAGAGUCUGCUAACAAACCCCCGGCGCGGAAAGCGUCAAGGAAUUACAAACAAGAAGAACAGCCGCCUUGAUUGCCCUGGAAACGGUGUGCAAAAGGUGUUGUGCUUUGAGAAUCCAAACGACUCUCGGCAACGGAUAUCUCGGCUCUCGCAUCGAUGAAGAACGCAGCGAAAUGCGAUACUUGGUGUGAAUUGCAGGAUCCCGUGAACCAUCGAGUUUUUGAACGCAAGUUGCGCCCGAAGCCUCUUGGCUGAGGGCACGUCUGCCUGGGUGUCACUCAAUCGUCGCCCCAACCUCUUUCUUUUGGAAGGGGGCGGAAGAUGGCUUCCCGUGUGUUCUUCGCACGCGGUUGGCCUAAAUGUCUGGUCCUGGCAACGAUGCCACGGUAAUCGGUGGUUUUAUGACCCUCGCUAAUGCUGUGAUGGAUCGGGUGCUGUUGUGACCUAUGAGCCCUUGUGUGUUUUAGGACGCGCUCGUAAUGCGACC
rnacentral:rRNA from 1 species